CCAGGAUCAUGCAGAGUACCUUCUAACUCCAUGAACAUUAGAUGUGAAGCUUCUGGCUGAGCGUUGGCUCAAUUUCUCCAUGUUUGAUGACAUAAUGUCACCGUGCUGCUCAAGCUGAUCUUAGAUUCUGAGAAGGUGCUUCUUGCUGGUCUUCCGAGGAGACUUCAUUAAAGGGAUGCCACGUGUAGCUGGUAUUUCUGAUAUGGAGUUUCUUAGUGAGGUUACAAACUCAAGCACUAAUGUCAUGCUUCCUGUCAGCAUCCUGAGAAGAUCACACUGGAGACUGCUACACUGAGCUAUGAUAUAAACUACAAAUAUAUUCCUGAUGAGGAGUAGGACAUUUUUCACAUCCUUAGUCAAUGCUGCAAUUAAAUGGAGGGACAAAAUGGAGCAGAGACAGAAGAGAAGACCAUCUGGAGACUACCCCACCUAGGUGAUCCAUGACAAGAGGAGAACAUUGAGGACUACUUGAUCAGCUGAAAUCAGGAGCUGUUCACUAGAGAGUAGCUGUAAGGAAU
rnacentral:lncRNA from 1 species